UCACACAUCUCUUCCCGUUCCCCGUUCUCCCAUGGUGGCCAAAUCCCUCGCCCCACAGCUGGCGCCCUUCGUCACGAACGCCGGCGCUCCCUGGUCCAGCCGCCGCUCCCCUCCGUCACCACCACGGGUGCUCCCUGUCAGGUCGAGGCUCCCCUUCGCAGCCGCUGCUCUUCCUCCCCUUCAUGUCGAAUCGGUCGCGGAAGUGGCCGAGGACGCCCUCGAGCUCGGCAUGCUCGCGCCAGCGCUAGGCGCCGGCGGAGGCAUACGCGGAGGCGUGGCACUCGCACGCACCUUCUCUACCCCGCUCCCUCUCCGAAUCCGGUUGCCGAAGUGCUCGAGGAGCCGCUCGAGCUCGGCAUGCUCGCGUGCGACGCCGGGUUUCUCGCUCCUCCUGAUGCCGUCGCCGCCGCCGUCGCCGCCAUGAGCCUCUCCACCCUCUCUCGCGCGGUCUUCUGGGUCCAGGUAAGUCUCUCUCUCCAACCCCGCCGCCUGCUCCACCCCGUCAAUUCGGUUCGUCCCCAGGUGCAUCGCCUCAUUCAGAAAUCACCAUGAAUGUUCCCAAUACUGUGUAUAAUUCGUUCUGUUAUAGGGCUUUGUUAGAAAAGCUGAUUUAACUGAGUAUUAUCCUGCUCUAGAUUGCUGCACCUUCUGGUUGUGAGUGGAUCCAAGAGUUACCAUGAAAGAAAGGAAGUUGGAGAAGUUACUAUUGAAGAGAAAUUCAGUGUCAUGUAGUUCUCAAGAGAUAAAAUGGAACAACAAGUGCAAGCCUCUCAUUCCUACACUAACUAAUCAGAUUUCGAGAGGGAUAAGGAGGUGCCUAAAGGGGAUGGGAGCAAAAAGUCUGAAUCGAAGAGCAUAUUUGUUUACCACAUUCAGUUGUUGGCCCUGCUGUUGACGUCCAUGGUGGCGCUGAUGAUGAUCUUGGCAAGGAUUUUAUGUAUCUGCCUGGGGCCUUGGUAUGUCCUUGAGCACGCAUCAGGUCAAAGGAAGAAGUCAAACCUGAAGAAGUGCAGGGAAGAAUUUCAGCUACGUGUGGUCAGCUAGUUCAGGGGACGUGCAGGGCGGGCGCGGCCGCGCGGGUGCCGGGGCAGGCUCCUGGGCACUGGCGAUCUCGCAGACGGAUGCCACGCUGCAAGGGCAAGCUCCUGGGCGCCCACUAUGUCGCUGACGGAUUCCACGCUGCGAGUGGCAACAAUCGGCGAUGGCGAUCAUGCAGGGAGGCGACAGAGUGGUGCAGUGCCGCGAGGUCGCCGUGCAGGCAGGAGACGGUGUUGGUGGGCGGCGUCUAGAGCUGUGGCGACUCAAGGCAGACAACUUCGAGGUUAAGGGCGAGGGGAGCCAAUUUCGUUGAGUUUCCUUCAUUAGCGAUCAGAAUUGCGUAAUCGUAGGGGAUGCGAAACUGGUAGUUGGAAUAUUCCUCGUUGGUGGAGUAUGGUCAGUCAUUGAAAAUUGCUAGGUCCACACCAUUGGCGUAUUAGAUUAAUGAUGACCGUUAGAUUGAGAUA